GGGAUAAGCCCGGGAAACUGGGUCUAAUACCGGAUACGACCUUCCAUCGCAUGGGUGGGGGGUGGAAAGAUUUAUCGGUCUUGGAUGGACUCGCGGCCUAUCAGCUUGUUGGUGAGGUAAUGGCUCACCAAGGCGACGACGGGUAGCCGGCCUGAGAGGGUGACCGGCCACACUGGGACUGAGACACGGCCCACACUCCUACGGGAGGCAGCAGUGGGGAAUAUUGCACAAUGGGCGCAAGCCUGAUGCAGCGACCCCGCGUGAGGGAUGACGGCCUUCGGGUUGUAAACCUCUUUCAGUAGGGAAGAAGCGAAAGUGACGGUACCUGCAGAAGAAGCGCCGGCUAACUACGUGCCAGCAGCCGCGGUAAUACGUAGGGCGCGAGCGUUAUCCGGAAUUAUUGGGCGUAAAGAGCUCGUAGGCGGUUUGUCGCGUCUGCCGUUAAAGUCCGGGGCUUACCCCGGAUCUGCG
rnacentral:rRNA from 2 species